GGGCGUGUGCGAUACAUGUGGGGAAAAAUAGCCGAUGUCCACAUCAGAAUGAAACGGGUAGAAUGUUAUUUAGAUGACGUUGCCUGGCGUGGUAGCGGCCUAGGAAUUGUCUGUAGUUAGCGAUAUUUUGUGAAUAUAAUUAAUACAUGUUAUAUUUGAGUUGUUUUGUUAAAAGGUGAUCUCGCUGUUUUUAAUCAAGCGCUGUUCAGAACGCUACUGAAGACGCGCGUUGACAGUGUUGUCACGUGGUACGUGUUACUUUUUUCACCGCUGAUUUAGAUGGACUAAUCACAUUCUUUUGUGAUUAAUUGUGAGGCGAAUGGAAUUCAGUCCUUUUUUAUACAGCAUAUUUGUAAACAUCACUCAAAUAUCAAUCUUCAGUAUGAACAGAUUCAAACGAUUAUACAUUUCUGUUUACAAAUGCCUCCAAUAUUUCACUAAUCGAGCUGAUAGUUGAAUGCGGCUCAGUGGAAGUUUCGCUUUUUGGGUGUCAGGGAGCCCCCUGGAGGACUCUCAUGAGAACCAGUUAUUAGCACAGCAGCAUUUGCAGUCUGAUGUCCGUUUCUGUAAACCAUGUGACGUGUGUUUACAUCCUCUCAGCUGUUCCUCGAGAAAAACAGCGCUGGAUCUUCAACGCCACGAAAAUCUAUACAUCGCACAACAACAGUGCGCUCAAAACACAAACUCUAAUGUGCAGCUCCAACUGUGUAAUUCAGCGUGUUUUGCUCGUGCAGAGCCCGAUUCAUGGCUUUACAAAGAUCUUGGCGUAGCUGAGAAUGGUCUGAGGUGAUUUGUGUGGGACACAGGCAUCACGACUGGGCAUCCCUGCGGAGAAUCGCUCCAGCGCUUUCAUCUGGAUGUGAGGACUGGUCUAGUUAUCCGUCUCUCACCUCCUCUGCAUUUUUCCUUUUUUUUUUUGGAUUGU
rnacentral:lncRNA from 1 species